rnacentral:lncRNA from 1 species
AUCUGGAGAUAGAAAUUGAACUGAUAAAGUGUCAGACAAAAAUGAGGCUCAGAGAAAGAGAAAGGGCUUUAGGAACCAAUUAGCCCAACUUCUUUCCUUUUGAAAACAGGCCCAGAGAGAUUUGUGUAUCUAAUAAAUUUGGGUAUCUAAUAAAUUAGGUACACAAACAAGUAACAGAGGCAAGAUUUGAACUAAGUUUCUCUGACCCUUUAUCCAAGAGAACAGUUAGAAGAGAGGAUUUCAUGAGGAACCUAAGAUCCCUAAAGUUCUCCAGAACUUUAGCAUUAAUUCUGUGAAAACCAGCUUGUUGAGAGUUUGCUUUACUGGAAAAAGUGGAUGAAGAACAUUGAAGAAGAACUGAUGAAUUCCAGAAUUUCAUAUGAUUCCAUUGGCAAACAUAAAUUUAACUUUUCAGGUUCAUAAAUUCAUUUAAGAAGGACCUACACUGACCAGAAGGAGGUUUCCACAACUCUCUGCCCUGCGCCGAACCUCAUUGGUUAGAAGAAUACAAAAACUCAAGAGCCUCAGCCUCUACUGGAGAAAUGGAACACAGAGAGAUAGAUUUCAAUUACAAUCCCAAAUCAUUGUCCAUUUGCAGUGUCUGGCCAAGAUAUAGCUGCUGAUGGAUGAGCUCUGUAGAUUGUCAAACUAAAUUCACAUUACAAGGUAUUUUAAGCACAAAACCUCAGGGUUGGAAGCAGCAAAAAAGAAAAAGAUUUGAAGCAGGGCAGACAGGAAAUGCUCCUCACUUCUGA